rnacentral:rRNA from 1 species
CCUACGGGAGGCAGCAGUGGGGAAUAUUGGACAAUGGGGGGAACCCUGAUCCAGCCAUGCCGCGUGUGUGAAGAAGGCCCUCGGGUUGUAGAGCACUUUCAGUGAGGAAGAACGCCUGGUGGUUAAUACCCAUCAGGAAAGACAUCACUCACAGAAGAAGCACCGGCUAACUCCGUGCCAGCAGCCGCGGUAAUACGGAGGGUGCGAGCGUUAAUCGGAAUUACUGGGCGUAAAGCGCGCGUAGGUGGCUUGAUAAGCCGGUUGUGAAAGCCCCGGGCUCAACCUGGGAACGGCAUCCGGAACUGUCAAGCUAGAGUGCAGGAGAGGAAGGUAGAAUUCCCGGUGUAGCGGUGAAAUGCGUAGAGAUCGGGAGGAAUACCAGUGGCGAAGGCGGCCUUCUGGACUGACACUGACACUGAGGUGCGAAAGCGUGGGUAGCAAACAGGAUUAGAUACCCCUGUAGUC